AUUGAACGCUGGCGGCAUGCNUUACACAUGCAAGUCGAACGGUAACAGGUCUUCGGAUGNUGACGAGUGGCGAACGGGUGAGUAAUACAUCGGAACGUGCCCGAUCGUGGGGGAUAACGGAGCGAAAGCUUUGCUAAUACCGCAUACGAUCUACGGAUGAAAGCAGGGGACCGCAAGGCCUUGCGCGGACGGAGCGGCCGAUGGCAGAUUAGGUAGUUGGUGGGAUAAAAGCUUACCAAGCCGACGAUCUGUAGCUGGUCUGAGAGGACGACCAGCCACACUGGGACUGAGACACGGCCCAGACUCCUACGGGAGGCAGCAGUGGGGAAUUUUGGACAAUGGGCGAAAGCCUGAUCCAGCCAUGCCGCGUGCAGGAUGAAGGCCUUCGGGUUGUAAACUGCUUUUGUACGGAACGAAAAGACUCUGGUUAAUACCUGGGGUCCUAUGACGGUACCGUAAGAAUAAGCACCGGCUAA
rnacentral:rRNA from 1 species